GACGAGGUGGCCGAGUGGUUAAGGCGAUGGACUGCUAAUCCGUUGUGCUCUGCACGCGUGGGUUCGAAUCCCAUCCUCAUAGGAAACA